GAUGAACGCUGGCGGCGUACCUAAUACAUGCAAGUCGAGCGAACAGACGAGGAGUUUGCUCCUCUGACGUUAGCGGCGGACGGGUGAGUAACACGUGGAUAACCUACCUAUAAGACUGAGAUAACUUCGGGAAACCGGAGCUAAUACCGGAUAAGAUAUUGAACCGCAUGGUUCAAUAGUGAAAGACGGUUUUGCUGUCACUUAUAGAUGGAUCCGCGCCGCAUUGGCUAGUUGGUAAGGUAACGGCUUACCAAGGCGACGAUGCGUAGCCGAACUGAGAGGGUGAUCGGCCACACUGGAACUGAGACACGGUCCAGACUCCUACGGGAGGCAGCAGUAGGGAAUCUUCGGCAAUGGGCGAAAGCUUGACGGAGCAACGCCGCGUGAGUGAUGAAGGUCUUCGGAUCGUAAAGCUCUGUUAUUAGGGAAGAACAGAUGUGUAAGUAAAUAUGCACGUCUUGACGGUACCUAAUCAGAAAGCCACGGCUAACUACGUG
rnacentral:rRNA from 1 species